rnacentral:rRNA from 1 species
GUGAGGAAUAUUGGUCAAUGGGCGCAAGCCUGAACCAGCCAUGCCGCGUGCAGGAAGACGGUCCUAUGGAUUGUAAACUGCUUUUAUUUGGGAAUAAACUCCGGUACGUGUACCGGCCUGAAGGUACCAAAUGAAUAAGCACCGGCUAACUCCGUGCCAGCAGCCGCGGUAAUACGGAGGGUGCAAGCGUUAUCCGGAAUCAUUGGGUUUAAAGGGUCCGCAGGCGGUCUUAUAAGUCAGUGGUGAAAGCCUACAGCUCAACUGUAGAACUGCCAUUGAUACUGUAGGACUUGAAUUCGAUCGAAGUGGGCGGAAUGUGAUAUGUAGCGGUGAAAUGCUUAGAUAUGUCACAGAACACCGAUAGCGAAGGCAGCUCACUAGGUCUGGAUUGACGCUCAGGGACGAAAGCGUGGGGAGCAAACAGGAUUAGAAACCCGGGUAGUCC